AAGAUGAAGAACAUCAGCUCCGAUAAACCAUACAGCUAAGCUAACUCCAAUAAAUUUCUCAAAUCAUCGUCGAAAUUUGAAACUAGUCCCCGUUCCAACAUACGAUUCUGAGGGAUUUGUAGUAAUUUUCCGGCAAUUUUUCGCGGUUGCUUUGUAAUUUUCCUCCAAUACGUUCUUCAAAUCCCUACAUCCCCUAAAAACCAAAUCCCCAAUUUGUCACCCUCUGCAAAUCUCGAUGCUAUAUCGAAGGCUCUGCACAUUGUUAGCAACUUCUAACCACAACCCAUUUCUCCUCCACCGGAAUCUCACAAACCCUUUUGCCAUUUUCGAGCGGAACCCGAAGUCGCUGUCCGUACCGAAGCAGCGGUUUCAGCCGCCAAGUCCGGCGACCCACCGCCACAUUUCGUACACCUCCCGAAUGAGUUACGCCAGACGGUCAGAAGCGGUGCCUAUUCCUUCCCCCGAUACUGCCAACAAGGCCGAGGUGAUUCGCGCCCUUGAGGCCGCUUUAGGGUCGCCGUUUAGUUCCGACCCGUUAGCCCCAAACCCUAACCCUUUAAUCGUGGUGAUCAGUGGGCCCAGUGGGGUUGGAAAAGAUGCAGUGAUUAAACGCUUGCGAGAAGUUAAAGAAAACAUUCAUUUUGUUGUCACGGCCACUAGCCGUGAAAAGCGGGCCGGUGAGGAAGAUGGGAAAGAUUACUAUUUUGUGAGCAAAGAGGAAUUUGUGUCAAUGAUUGAAAGGAAUGAGCUUUUGGAGUAUGCAUUGGUGUAUGGGGAUUAUAAGGGUAUCCCGAAACAGCAAAUUAGGGAUUACAUGGCUAAAGGGUGUGACAUUGUAUUGAGAGUGGAUAUUCAAGGGGCUGCAACUCUGAGGAAGAUCCUCGGGAAUGCUGCGGUGUUUGUGUUCUUGGUAGCCGAGAGCGAGGAGGCGCUCGUUAAGAGGUUGAUAGAUAGGAAGACGGAGACGAGGGAGACUUUGCUUGUGAGAAUUGCCACGGCUCGGGAGGAGGUGAGGCAUAUGAAGAGCUUCGAUUAUGUUGUUGUGAACCGAGAAGGGGAGUUGGAGAGUUCGGUUAAGUUGGUCGAGACCAUCAUUGAUGCCGAGAAGGCCCGAGUGGCACAAAGGAAUGCCACGAUCUAGUGAUUGCUCGAUUUUGUUGUUUAGUUAUUUGGUAUCAUUGGUGGAGCUUAUAGUUCAUACAUUUUCAUUGAAUCAUUUGCACCGGAUUGCUGGGCUCUGAACACGGGUGGGUUAUCGUUAUCUUCAUGCAUUCGAAGAUACAGAAUCCCGACUUUAGAAGCAGCAGCAAAGAAUCUUUGCCUAACUACAUGAAUGCACAGAUGACAGCCUUGGCAAGUUGAGUUCUAAAGACAAAGAAUGCUUAACUUGUAUCCACUUUUUUAUUUGCAUUUGAAGGUAAAGAUUAUGUAUAGUUUUGUAUUUGACAAUAUCCCAGCAUGUUAAUGUCCAGAUCAUUCAUUCCUUGCUUAUUCCUGCAAAAUAUUAAUUAGCCCAUUCAAUGUUUAUUAUUGCA